GGGGGCGUGCGGGGACACAGGCGACACAUGCGUUGGGACAUGGGGACAUGUCUGCGUUGUGGGGACACGCACGGGACACGUCGGGGGGCACGCGUGGGAUGUGGGACACGCAGGGAACACACCAGGUGUACCUGUGUGGGUGCGUGGGAUGCGUGGAGAACACGAGGGACACACGUGGGGACGCUCGUCGCGCACACGGGGGAUGUGGGGACACACGGACAUUCGGGGGGGGCAUGUGGGGGAUGUGGGGACAGACUGGAGACACGCAGGACAUGUCGGGGGUGCACGUGGGGGGUUAAUGGGGACACGCAGGAUGCGGGGACACCCUGGCGACAAGCAGGGCACACGCCGGGAGCACGUGUGGGGACUUGCGUGGGACACGGAGGGGACAUGUAGGAUGCGGGAGACACAGGACACGCAGGACACAGAGUGCACAGAAGAGGACAUCGGGAAGGGGGGAGCGCACAGCAGACACGUGGGACGCAGGAUGGCACAGGCGCGCAGGGGACACGGGAGUCACGGGAAACUCGGAGGGGACCGGCACGGGGACAGUCAGGAGACAGGACACUGGAGGACACACUGCACACACAGGGGACAGGGUGUCACCACCGGCUGCCAUCCGCCCCGUCACGUGCUGGGGGCUGUGCCUCAGUUUCCCCGCGGACCUGCCCGGGGUUUCUAAGUGCUGUUGGUUCAUCCCUGAGUUUUUCCACGCUUGGAGGAAGGGCUGAACCCCUAAUCCUUGUGCUCCGGAUGGAUCCCUCCAGACCUCAGUCACCAGUGACAGCUGUCGCGGAAAGGGUGGGCGGGUCCCGGCGGGUCCCCCUCACCCCCAUUUUCCUGGGGUGUC
rnacentral:lncRNA from 12 species